GACCUCAGCGACAAAAACGAGACCCAAAAAAGAAAACCGAAAAGAAAUGACAUUGACAUUUUGAAUAAUGACGCAGCAGCCCCUGAAAUUUCAUACCAAUAGCCGAAAAAUAGCAAAUCCAGGGACAGAUCUCCAGCGGCGCAGAGCCAGAGCAGCGGGACACAGCCGAAAAAGCCCAUGCCAAAGCCCCAACGCUUAUCAAGCUUGAUGACAGAGAUUAGGCUGCUGUUUUCAAGUGGGUGCAGGAGAGUUCCAGAAGAGGUGUUGUCAAGUGCAUUUCAGACAAACAUCAUUAGAGCAAUGCAAAAAGCAAGCCAAUGGUCCCAAAGCAUUUCUAGAACGUAGCUGCACAUUAAAUGGCUAAAAGGACAACAACGACAAGGAUAACUUUGCCAAGUGGCCAUAAUCACAGAGGUGCAAUUUGAACAAAGAGCAGAGCCCGAACACAGCGGAGAGACAGAGAAAUAGAGAGAGCAAGAAAAAAAGUGGGUGAGUUAAAGGAGGAUUGCUGCAACUUGAAUAAGAUGAAGGCGUUGCAACAAGGGGGGCGGGCUGCCAGGGGAGCUGCUACUGCAGGGGCAUCAACAAUAAUAAAUCUGCGCACAAAGUGCCAAGUGCAAAAUGAAGACAAAAACAACAAUGCGAUGCGGCUGAGAAAAUAGUUGGGAAAACUAAAAUUAAACUUGCUCCCAAACUGC